GUUGUCGUGGUCGAGUGGUUUAGGCGAUAGACAUGAACUCUUUGGGAUCUUCUCGCACAGGUUCGAAUCCUGCCGACAACG
rnacentral:tRNA from 1 species